rnacentral:rRNA from 1 species
AUUGAACGCUGGCGGCAGGCCUAACACAUGCAAGUCGAACGAGUGGCGGACGGGUGAGUAAUGUCUGGGAAACUGCCCGAUGGAGGGGGAUAACUACUGGAAACGGUAGCUAAUACCGCAUACCAUCGGAUGUGCCCAUAUGGGAGUAGCUAGUAGGUGGGGUAACGGCUCACCUAGGCGACGAUCCCUAGCUGGUCUGAGAGGAUGACGAGCCACACGGGAACUGGGACGCGGUCCAAACUCCUAAGGGAGGCAGCAGUGGGGAAUAUUGCACAAUGAGCGCAAGCCUGAUGCAGCCAUGCCGCGUGUAUGAAGAAGGCCUUCGGGUUGUAAAGUACGUUAAGCGAGGAGGCGUUACUCGCAGAAGAAGCACCGGCUAACUCCGUGCCAGCAGCCGCGGUAAUAC